rnacentral:lncRNA from 1 species
GAUAUAGAGUUCCCCCCUGCUGCUCCUCUUAUCUCACUGGCCAUACGGCUAUAAAUAGGUUGAGCAUCAUUUUUUCUUCUCUGGUUCAUCAUGAUAUCUAAUAGGGUGAUUCUUCCUUGCCGCAAAGUGUGUCUUAGAUCAGCUGGGUAGAAAACAAAACCAAAUCGUAUGCAUUUCUUACAAACAGCGCUAAACUACUAAGGUUCUAAAUUUGCAAGUCAAACACAGACGAAUCCAGGUGUAUACUCAUAAAUUUUAAACCUGAUAAUCAAAGGUGUGUAACCCUUGGUAGGCUUCAAGAUGUUGAUUGAAAAUGAAAUGGACCCAGACUUAAAUGGUUCACCCCACAAAACUAAGGUACAUUCAUAAUGUUGCAUGAAUUCUAUGAAGGAGAAUGUUUGAUAAACUAAGUUCAUUGAGCAACACAAUACAUACAUUUAACAAUUAAAUGGCGGAAGCAUGCUUGUAUGCACUCUAAAACAAAACUUAAACUACGAAAUUCAAAGCCUAGUAGUAGAGGUGAACCAAGACUCAACUUUAAACACAAAGAGAGUUUAGAAACAUUAUACCUUUGAACACAAUGAGUGACAAUGGAAGAAAAAAAUGCUAUCAAUGUUCUCCAUGGUGGCUAGCCUAUCUAAGGAAGGAGAGAGUUUGUGUUUCUCCCUCUUUGCCUCAUAGAAAAUCCUAAUGAGGGAUGGAGUUAUAAAGUUGCCUUUAUACCUCAUUCUAAGUGAUUAGCAAACUUGUAAUAAGUAAACCAUCACUCCCUUUCGCUUUGGACGGUUUAUGUAGUUAUGUUUGGGUUAAUUCUCAUUUUGUUUUAGUUGUCAUAGAACUUAACUCAAUGGGUCUUGUGGACCAAAACUCAAUUUGGGUCCUAAAACAUGAAACUUAUUUAAAGCCUGAUUUGAACAUUUCGCAUGAUUAAUUAAUAUAUUAAUUAAUCUUUGUCAUAUACAAUUAAACUAUUUAAUUGUCCUUACUUAUAUUCAUUAUAUUCAUCAAUUAUUACCCUACACGAUGUGAGACCCAUUAAGUUCCUUUUAGCGAGACAGUGGGCAAUUAGAACUCUUAGUCUCUUACUAGUCGAUUGUGAAUUGAAACUUACAUUCAAUUCUCCUUUUAGUGAUUAUACAUCUUCAAGGCUUCCACAAACCAUGAGCAACACCAACAGCAUGUUAUGGCUACUCAAGCUAAUCAAAAGAGGUUGGAGAACCUAUUCAGUUUCGUAUUACAAUGCAAUAUGGUCUUUCUCACAUUGUAUGGUUUGAUAGUUUAUUCAUAUCUACUAUCCAAUGUGAUUCUCUUACUUAUAUGAUUACCUUGAAUGCGAUUUAGAACUAUAUCUCAUUCAUACUCUGGUAAGAGAUUCUUAAUCAUAUCAUAAAGUAUUCUCCCUCAACGGUUUAAAGGGUAGAAAUCCUUUGUUGCACAUUCACACGUCUCCAUGAUUAAGUAGUUUAGCCCUAACUAUGCAUAGACAAUAUCUAAUGGAGUGCCUUUAACAUAGUCAUAGAUUAAGGACCUAACCACAAGACAACUAUGAUGUCUCAAGUCAGAAGACUACUUUGCAUUAUUCAAUUAUGAGUUCUCAUGCGACAUGAGUAUGAGAACUCCUUGUUGAUCGCAUUCAGUGGAUGCACUCUCUAUUAAGCACAUACAUACUUGGCUUAGUGUCAUUCACACCAAUGACUCGAGAUCAGUCACUCUUCUCGAGAGAAGACAUAAUAUGUACUAAUCUACAAGAAUCAUUAAUGCUAUAUUAGCAGUCAUAUGAUCAGAAACAUUUAGGAUAUGUGUAUGAAAUAGAAUGUUCUGGUGAAUCUUAAUUCUUUAGAUCACAUUCUCCUAACUACAUAUUCCUUGGAGUUAUCGUUUAAGCGUAUAACAUUUAAUGGGAGGGCUUUAAACCAUAAUCUUUACCUUUACACUGAACUAAUUUAGUUUAACAUAUGAAAUUUCUGUAAAGUAUCAUCUUACGAUUGAGUUAGGCAUAUUCCCAACAUUUUAUUGAU